CUUGACUGGUUGCAGGAGGUUAGCAUCUCUAAAAAUUAAGUUCUAGAUAACUUGCUUAAACUUGUGCAGAGAACACGGAACGUCAUGGAAUGUUUAAUUUUCAGAGAAAUCCUGUUUACUUUGACCCUUGCCGGCCAAGUGAAACAAUAUGUGAGUCCUUCAGUGAGAUACAAACUUCAAUCCAGGGCAUGAAGGUAGCUGGAGGACAGACCUGUCCCUGGGCAAUGAAAUAAGUCUUCCCUGUGAUGUCCUUUCAGCCCUCAGGGCAAAGGAACAUGGUAUCGUAUCAGUGAAAUUCACUAAAAGGCAUGAGCACGGAAGGACUUAAAAGGUAGUUCCAUGCUGUGGUUAACCUGAAAAAUACCUGUGAUUCCGAAAAAAAGCAUGCAAAAAGGUGAAUAAUGUGCACUGAUGGUACUAUGGUUGAUGUUGCUCUGUUCUCUGAGGUUCUGUGCAGAUGCAGAAUGAGUUUGUCUCUGGCCUUGGGCAGCCUAUAUGUACAUAUAAGAAUGACACAAAAAGACAGAAUUUGACAGAGGUCAAGAAAACAGUGGAACCAUACUGGUCAAAAUAAGAAGCCUAAAUUAUUGCAUGCCUGGAGCUUAGUUCUGGAGAAGCCUAGAAAUGGCCUAGAUGAGAGCUUCAAGGAGGGGCUGAAAGCAGCAGACUGCUUUUGAAGAGCUUUUCCCAGUGGUGAGGCAGAAGUUCGCCUGCACCGAUUUCUAACUCACUGCUAAAGAAAUGCUGAUGCCAUAGGUUAAAUGGCCACAGAAAAAAGUGUUUUGAUUUGAGGAUAAGCAUCUUAGGUUUGAUGUCAAAGAUAAAUUGGAGUAUACAGAAACACACAGAGAGCUAACUCUUUCACAGUAUACCAGCCAUGUGGGUGGGGUGUGAGCAGGGCAAGACUGAAUUUGACAAAACCAGAACAAGGUCUCAAUAAAUGAGACAACAAUAACGUGAAUGAGAAAAUGAGAAAUUCAAUCCUGGACACUUUUUUUUUUUUUUUUUAUUAAUUCACUCUGUUAAUUAAUUAAAAAAGUAUGAUCUAGCAAUGAAGACAUGGAAGAGCUUGAUGUUCAGGUAUAGCCAAAUGACAGGCAGAAGAAUGACAUCUGCCACAGCAGCAAGGGUUAAGCUGUGAGGAUGAGGCUGUUGGCUAAUCAUCCAUCAGAGCAAGCCUGGAAGCCAUACUAAUAUAUUAGUUGCCAGAUAAAUGUUUUGGAAGUGAGAAGUUGAUGUGAUAACCCUAAAAAAGCAUGACCAAUUGCAUAGAAAUAAAUGGUAUUUGAUAUAUAUCUGAUGGCAAUACAAGCACAAAAGAGAUACUUUAGUCUAUCUCAGAACUGUUAUUAGUCAUCUCUGUGCUCUAGCAAAGCAGUAAGGUAUCUCAUCUUUGAUUUCUAACAGUUAUUUCCAUCUCAUAUUAAACUAUUUUUAGACUGAAUGGGUAAAAAUUUUGCUUCCAAACAAAAGUAAUAUGGUCUUAAUGCAUAUAUCUAUUAUGGCCUGUUACUAACCUCCUUUUAUCUGGAGAAACAGUCAUUCACUCCAGCUUUUUGUUUGCUUGUUUGUUUGUUUUUCUUACAUAUUCAAUGUUUAAUUCAUCACAAACACCUUGAUUAUUCAUCCUCUUUUAUCAUCUUCAUUCUGUGAGAGAGCCUGGUGAAAAAGUACAGAAACUAUGCUUUUAGGACAUCUUUACCUGCUAUUUCUCUAGCUUUUAAAAAGCUAAGAAACUUAUUUUCUCCCCUUUGCAAAGGCUGUGUGGCCUGGCUCUCAAUUAAGGCAUAUUUCUGCAGUCCUGUCUUCAGACUGACUUCUUUGUAAACUUAUCAUUUUCUGUCUUACAAAUCACCCCAGAAAAUGUUUCUAAAACACCAACACUACUCAGUUAUGUAUAUUUACACCAAAAAGGUAAGUCAUCAAAGUAUGCUCCUUAUUCACUUUGAUUUGAAGAUGGUCUAUCCUGAGACUGGCACAGGGAGUAGCUCCCUCCCUGCUCUGAGGACUCACAGAACCAAGGGCUUCUUUCUUGGCUCUCUGCUGAGAUGACAAACUACUCUUCUGGCCCUGACCAUGCAGGGGACUCACGUUGCCGUGAAUAAAGAUUUUAUCAUCCCCUUCAGAAAAAAAUGAAACAGAAGCUGUAAAAUAAGAACAAAGUUGUUAAAAGUGAAGUUAAACUAAGUUGUUAAAACUCACCACUUAGUGAAUAAAUAAGCUAAAUAAAGAAUAAAAUCUACAAUCUGAUCUACCCAAAGGUGACUUUUGGUUUAAAAGAAAGACUUUGCUUUUUGGCAGUUUGACAAAUUGAGAAAAGGACACACUCAGGUACAAAACUAAAACUGGUGGUAAACUUUAGCAGCAACAACAAACUGAAGAAAGAAAAUAGUGUCUUUAUAAAAAUUUUAUAUCCAUUUCAUAUCUACAAUAACAAAGAAAAUGAGGAGGAAGCUUUUGAACAAUCAACUUCAUAUUAAUUAAGGGCUGCACUAACUUUUUCUAAUUUACAUAUUUCAGAUUGUGGAUAUCAUCAUUAUUCCAAGAUGCAAUGCAGAUAAUUAAGCCUAUUUUUUCAUGUCCUGUAAAUUAUCUGUCCACAAAAUGCUGAGUUUCUGAUUAAUUUCUUCUCUAUAGGUUUCCAGUGACCCAAUUUCUUUAUUUUCUUUAAGAUCAAUAUCCUUAGGCUGUCUCUUCAUAGACUACAUUUUAAACAUGAAAGAUAAUUCACAUAAUGUGAAGGUGUAAAGGUGAAAGGUUAGCUUCCCAUGUACAUCAUCCUAGUUUGUACACCUUACUCUGCUUCCCACCCUUGUAAUGAAAAGGGCAUUUGUACUUUGGCCAUGAGCAAAUCAGACUGCUACACCUAAAUGACAGAUGAAAUCUCACUGCAGUGCACUUAGCAGUUAUCAGGUUCACAUGUACACCCUUUAGAGACCUUAAUAAUAGCCUCUCCAGAAUCUCUUCAAACUGGCAAUCCACACAUGCUUUUCCUUCAUAUUAAACAAUUCCUUCAUUUUAAACAAUUUUUCUAUAAAUAACAGAAGCUUGACUAACUCUAAAUUUGUUCAGUGUCUCUUAAACUAUUCCAGCUGUGGUUAAUUCAAUUUUCCUAAUCAUCAAUAACUCCUAGUGCAGAACCUCCAACUCCUGCCCCACCCAAAGUCUUACCCUGAGUUUCCCAUUGGGCUCCCUCACUUCAGCUCCCUCACCCCAGACCUAAAGCCCUCCUAGAGCUGCCCCAUCAAUCAGAUCCCUCUCAUGGUGUCACCUUUGCCAGCUUACUCCCUGGGCAAGAUUUGAACAGGUGGUGUGAGUGUCCUCAGCCACCUGCCUGAGGUACAUAGGAGAGGAAAAAGGACAGGCACAAGUUCAGUGUGUUUCCUCCCUCUCCUCCAUCCACCCUCCCCUUACCAUACAAAUUAAAGGAGUUUGAUCUCCUGGGGUCUGCAAUAAACAGAGAAAUGCCUUUUAAAGGGCACUUCCCUCAAAACCACAUGCUGAGGGAGGCCUGGAUUAUCAGAAUUUCAGCUUCAAGGCAGGAGAGGAAACUGGAGUGGCCUGAAGGCUACAAGUGCCACAGCUUCUCCUGGAAGCUGCAGGGACUUCAAGUUCCCACUGGGGCACCGGAUGCAGUUUGACAGGGAAGCAGCAUUUGGAACAAAUAAUUUUGCCAGAAGCUUUUGUUGUCAGAUUGCAAAGUAGGAGAAUUAUUGGGCAACUGACUGGUGCAUAGUUAACCAAGAAGUCUGGGGCAGCUGUACUUUUUUUACAGCUCCAAAAAAGCUGAUUUACAUUAGGAUGAGUGAUUGCACAGCACAUGGUUAAAGAAUAACUGAAGAAAACAAGCCUUGCCUCCACAAGGAAAUUGGAAUAGUGUCCAUAAUUCAUACCUGCAUAACUGGCCAUAGGGGCCUUCUAGCCCCUUCUCCUGGCCGUGUGCUGUAACAUCACAAUAUUUUUCCUAUAUUCCUUGUUGGAAGUGAAACUUCUCCUCUGAGUGAUGAAGCACUCAGGCAAUGCCAAGAUUUGUCUUUAUUUAAUGUAUUUAAAGAACUACUUAUCCAAAUCACUUUGAGUCUGGACAUAAACUUUUUAUUCAAAUGCCAAAAAUACUAAUGGAAAACAAUCUAUUCUGAGGGUACCAAAGGUGAAGAACCACUGAAAUUUAUAAUGGAGAGCAGUACAUCUCCAUUGAGGUGAACAUCUAGUUUUACUUUUGAAACAGAAAACUAAAUUCUGUAAAAAGAGGAGCCCAAGCAUUUGGACAGCAAUCUUAUUUUUUUUGCCAUGAAUAUUUGUGUUAGAGUGUUGACUAAGGAAUUAUAAUUUAAUAUUUCUUAGUCACAAUGAUUUCCAGUUGCCCCUGUAUUUCAAGCACCACCUAGUGGAUCUAUUUUAAAGCUACCAAAAAAGCAAGUAGCAAAAUAUUUUUUCUUUUCAAGGUAUGAAUGGCAGCUGUCAGCCUGCCCUCUUUAAAACUUGCUAUUUGAUUGCUUGUUCAUAGCAAGUCACAACAGCUUUGAAAAACACUAAGUUAAUACAAGUGAACAAGUACUGCUUAGUAUGAACAAAAUUUGGCUCUUAUUGAGCCUCAGUGUAGGACAUUUCUCUUCCCAAUUCAUUAUGCCCAGAAUGUUAAGAUGGAUAUGUCCUUUAAUUUUCAGAAUUUCCUGAGUAAAGAAAAAUAAACUUCUUCUUCCUCUAAAUGGAAACAAGUGAGAAAGACUGAGUAGACAUUAUUUGAAUACUGGAAAUAACUAACCAAAGAAAGAAGGUAUUUCUAAUCUUGUUCACCAGGCAGUCAAAUGUGGCCAUAUAAUUAUGUAAGCAUAUAAUUCUUAAAUGAAGUAUAUUAAGCUCAGAGACACUUGAUAGAUAUCCUAUCUGAGCAAUUACCUACCACAAAUAUAACAUAAAUCAAUACACUGUUUGUUAAAAUUUUUAUUCUUCUUGAUGAUUUAAUUUAUUAGAGAGGGAUGGUUACUUAUUUAAAAUUUUGUAUUUGAUCUCAGUAGCUUAUCUUAAUGUAUGUAAUUCAUGCAUUACAUAUUACCUAUGAAGAGCAUUUUUUGGCAAGACCUCAGAAUUAUUGUUGCAAGAAACUGAGAUUUGAUUGCAAAUAAUAAAAACUGGGAUCUUUAAAGUGAUGGGUGAUCAGCCUAAAGUAAACUAAGUUUACCUUGACACAGGACUGGGAGCAAACCUUGAGUGCCUUGUCUAAUUAGGGAGCUUAAUUCCAGACCUUGCAGUUAAGAUCAGGUAGCAGAAAUGGCCAUGACUAGGCAACUAAAAUAGAAAGAAUACUGCGAAGUGUCACAGUGAGAGAAAGCCUGUCAUGCCAGAAUCAGCACGGGCAUUUAUAAGAUGCAGGUACUGAUCAAAGAUCAAAACAGCUGAAAACAGAAAUCAGUGAAGUAACUGAAUGCAAAAACCAUUGCUUAGAAAAAAAUAAUCCUGAGCUCUCUUCCCUGCAAACACUUUUGAGUGGACUAGAAUUGAUGGGGUUGGUCCAGCAGCUGAUCAGACAUUUGGCUACAUAAGUUAAUGAAAAGCUUUAAAAAUAUGGGCAGCCUCUGUGUCUGGAAUGAAAUAUAGCAAGGAUUGUAUAUCUCUCUUUGAUGAGGCUGUUAAAAUAAAAAUGGUUCACAACAGCCAAUGGCUUAUGGGUUCCAUCAUCUAAUUAGCUAUUUCAUCUGUAUUUUAUAUUUAUUCAUUCAAUUAAUCUAUAUUUGGCGGGGGGGAAGGGUCUUAGUUCUAACUUUUGUAUAUUGAAAGUAUUUUUAAGCAUUUUACACUGAACUCAGAGUAUAGAUUUAACUUGGUAUUUUACAGGAAGGCAUGACAGGAAAUAAAUACAUUCUUGUAAGUAACACAGAGAUACAAGCAGAGAUAAAGAACAGACAUUUGUAAUUAAUGAGGAAAUGUAGUUACUAUUGAUUGACCGAAUACAUAUGAUGAAUGUACUAUUUACCAAUCAACACAAUUUUAUCUUUAUUUUGAAAUUGCCUAAGUUGGUUUGGUCUGUAUGUGGUACAUUACAAGAUAUCUCUGCUUUAAAACAGAAUUUAACUUGCACUCUUCCUAGAUAUACUAAAAGGGAAAUCCCACUUUGGUGCCUAUUUGUUCAUGGUAUUCUUUUGUAAAUAUCUGGAUAUUUAAAUAUAAAUAAAACUUUUUUUUUUGUGCCUAAAUAAUGUGCUAUAAAUACCUUAAUCCUGGGAUGCUGAGAGGCUGUGCUAACAAAGCAGGUGAAAGGCUUACAUAUUUCGAAGAAAACAAAACUUCUUCCUUUCCCAGAUUUGUAUUAUUUUAGAGUGGUGCAAACACAAAAUAUCAAAUGUUCUGAUUCAUAGGUCUCAUUCUGACAACAUUAACAGAGAACUCAUCCUGCACAGACAUCCAUUUAUAGGCAGCAGGCUCUAGACACAGGGUUUGGAGAGAGAGAUUGUUUUAAUUCUCUCCAGAUCUUUCAGAGCAAGUGAGGUUGGAGCUAGUUCUGGAGAAAACCUUGCAGUCCCUCUUCUUCUGUUUAGCAGCUAACAUCUACAGCACUGUGCUGUACGACUCUUAAAUCUGACCACCACACAAACCUCACAGCAAAAAGUGUCUAGGAAAAAAAUGCAAGCACUGCAGAGAGAAAGAUUUUAGAAAGUUCUUUAAGGUUAUAAAAUUGAUGAAAAUUUCCCAAGUUUAGAACUUAGAUUAAUAGAAUGGGAUGUGGUAUGGAUGCCGGAAGCUGAGCCAAAUCACUCAUUUUACCAAAGACAAAAGUUUCAGGACUUCUUGAGCAAGAACGAAAACCAGAGAAUCCUGUGAAAAAGACACAAUUUUCUGUCAUUUCUGAAAAAAAAAAAAAAAAAAAAAAAAAGCAAAAGUUUUAGGGGAAAAAAGAAAUAAAUAGGGCCCUGCUGUGACAUGAAGAGCCAGGCAGUAAAAAAUAUUUCAUUUAUCUAAUGAAAUAAUCAAGAGUUCAGGAGUCAAAAUGAUGCAGUCACUUGCAGAAUAGGACUUCAGAAAAGUUUACACGUAUUUUCCAUCACAGCAAACAAAAAAUCACAAAUAAGGUAGAAAAAUUGUGCACCCUUUCCAUAAUGUAUUUAAUACUUCUUUUUCAGAAUAAGUGCCAAAGCAAAUUUAUGGAACAGGUGACUGUCUCAGCAAAUGCACACCAUGUCUCACUUUGUUUAAACUACAAAGAUUAUUCUUGAAUCUAAUGUCUGAGGUGGAAAUCACAGUUUGUCUUUGACAUAAUAAUGGAAUUGCUCCUGACAAUUUUCCUUGAACAUCAGAAAAUUUUGAAGUUAAACGAAAACUAGAGAAUAGCACUCUGUGAAUAUUCUCAGGCAAGCAGGCUAGCAUGUGAGGCUCCCAAAAGACUAGCUUUGUGUAUAUUUACCUACAGCUCAUCAAAGCCAAAUCUUCAGAUGGAGGUGAAACAUAUAAGCAGCUGUGCUGCAGUAAAAAUGUCACAGCCUAAAUGGAACUAAAGAAGCUUUUCUUACUACAGGUCACCUAAAAAUACUUUGACAAACAGAGGGGUAUCUAGCAGUGUCUGUACAAUAGUUCCAUGCUUUUUCUGGUCUGGCAUAUGGAAUAUUUUGAGACAGGUAAGAACAGGCUGUUUGCUAAUGGACCGGGAAAAGUACAGUCCAAAUAGUGCUAUGAUGCAGAGCAGAAGUAACCCAGCUAUAUAAACUCCACCUACUGGGAACUUUCUGUAGCCCUCAGGCUGUAGUCAGGAUGAUGGCAGAGCCCAGCUUCAAACAAGCAAUAAGGAUGAGCAAUUUGUAC